rnacentral:rRNA from 1 species
AGCGAACGCUGGCGGCAGGCCUAACACAUGCAAGUCGAACGAACCCUUCGGGGUUAGUGGCGGACGGGUGAGUAACACGUGGGAACGUGCCUUUAGGUUCGGAAUAACUCAGGGAAACUUGUGCUAAUACCGAAUGUGCCCUUCGGGGGAAAGAUUUAUCGCCUUUAGAGCGGCCCGCGUCUGAUUAGCUAGUUGGUGAGGUAAAGGCUCACCAAGGCUACGAUCAGUAGCUGGUCUGAGAGGAUGACCAGCCACAUUGGGACUGAGACACGGCCCAAACUCCUACGGGAGGCAGCAGUGGGGAAUCUUGCGCAGUGGGCGAAAGCCUGACGCAGCCAUGCCGCGUGGAUGAUGAAGGUCUUAGGAUUGUAAAAUCCUUUCACCGGUGAAGAUAAUGACUGUAGCCGGAGAAGAAGCCCCGGCUAACUUCGUGCCAGCCGCCGCGGUAAUAC